rnacentral:rRNA from 1 species
CCUACGGGUGGCUGCAGUCGAGAAUCAUUCACAAUGGGGAAAACCCUGAUGGUGCGACGCCGCGUGGGGGAAUGCAGGUCUUCGGAUUGUAAACCCCUGUUGUGUGGGAGCAAAUUCACACGAUAGUACCACAAGAGGAAGAGACGGCUAACCCUGUGCCAGCAGCCGCGGUAAUACAGAGGUCUCAAGCGGUAGUCGGCAUCCCUGGGCGUAAAGCGUGCGUAGGCUGGUUCGUCAGUCGGGUGUGAAAGGCGCGGGCUCAAACGGCGGACGGCACAUGAUACUGGGAGUCUAGAGUGGGGGAGGAGGAAGCGGAAUGCGCGGGGUAGCAGUGAAAUGCGUAGAUAUCGAGAGGAACACUCGGGGCGAAGGCGGGUUCCUGGACAUUAACUGACGCUGAGGCACGAAGGCCAGGGGAGCGAAAGGGAUUAGAUACCCCAGUAGUC